rnacentral:rRNA from 1 species
GACGAACGCUGGCGGCGUGCCUAAUGCAUGCAAGUCGAGCGGACGGAUGGGAGCUUGCUCCCAGACCGUCAGCGGCGGACGGGUGAGUAACACGUGGGCAACCUGCCUGUAAGACUGGGAUAACUCCGGGAAACCGGGGCUAAUACCGGAUAACUCUUUCCCUCACAUGAGGGAAAGCUGAAAGAUGGCAUCUCGCUAUCACUUACAGAUGGGCCCGCGGCGCAUUAGCUAGUUGGUGAGGUAACGGCUCACCAAGGCGACGAUGCGUAGCCGACCUGAGAGGGUGAUCGGCCACACUGGGACUGAGACACGGCAGACUCCUACGGGAGGCAGCAGUAGGGAAUCUUCCGCAAUGGACGAAAGUCUGACGGAGCAACGCCGCGUGAGUGAUGAAGGUUUUCGGAUCGUAAAACUCUGUUGUCAGGGAAGAACAAGUACCGGAGUAACUGCCGGUACCUUGACGGUACCUGACCAGAAAGCCACGGCUAACUACGUG